rnacentral:rRNA from 1 species
AGUGAACGCUGGCGGUAGGCCUAACACAUGCAAGUCGAACGGCAGCACAGUAAGAGCUUGCUCUUACGGGUGGCGAGUGGCGGACGGGUGAGGAAUACAUCGGAAUCUACUUUUUCGUGGGGGAUAACGUAGGGAAACUUACGCUAAUACCGCAUACGACCUACGGGGGAAAGCAGGGGAUCUUCGGACUUUGCGCGAUUGAAUGAGCCGAUGUCGGAUUAGCUAGUUGGCGGGGUAAAGGCCCACCAAGGCGACGAUCCGUAGCUGGUCUGAGAGGAUGAUCAGCCACACUGGAACUGAGACACGGUCCAGACUCCUACGGGAGGCAGCAGUGGGGAAUAUUGCACAAUGGGCGCAAGCCUGAUCCAGCCAUACCGCGUGGGUGAAGAAGGCCUUCGGGUUGUAAAGCCCUUUUGUUGGGAAAGAACAGCAGCAGGUUAAUCCCCCGCUGUUCUGACGGUACCCAAAGAAUAAGCACCGGCUAACUUCGUG